GUUUGAUCCUGGCUCAGGACGAACGCUGGCGGCGCGCCUAACACAUGCAAGUCGAACGAGCGAGAGAGAGCUUGCUUUCUCGAGCGAGUGGCGAACGGGUGAGUAACGCGUGAGGAACCUGCCUCAAAGAGGGGGACAACAGUUGGAAACGACUGCUAAUACCGCAUAAGCCCACGGCUCGGCAUCGAGCAGAGGGAAAAGGAGCAAUCCGCUUUGAGAUGGCCUCGCGUCCGAUUAGCUAGUUGGUGAGGUAACGGCCCACCAAGGCAACGAUCGGUAGCCGGACUGAGAGGUUGAACGGCCACAUUGGGACUGAGACACGGCCCAGACUCCUACGGGAGGCAGCAGUGGGGAAUAUUGCACAAUGGGGGAAACCCUGAUGCAGCGACGCCGCGUGGAGGAAGAAGGUCUUCGGAUUGUAAACUCCUGUUGUUGGGGAAGAUAAUGACGGUACCCAACAAGGAAGUGACGGCUAACUACGUGCCAGCAGCCGCGGUAAAACGUAGGUCACAAGCGUUGUCCGGAAUUACUGGGUGUAAAGGGAGCGCAGGCGGGAAGACAAGUUGGAAGUGAAAUCUAUGGGCUCAACCCAUAAACUGCUUCAAAA
rnacentral:rRNA from 1 species